rnacentral:rRNA from 1 species
AGAGUUUGAUCAUGGCUCAGAUUGAACGCUGGCGGCAGGCUUAACACAUGCAAGUCGAACGGUAACAGAACUAGCUUGCUAGUUGCUGACGAGUGGCGGACGGGUGAGUAACGCGUAGGAAUCUACCGAAUAGUGGGGGACAACAGUUGGAAACGGCUGCUAAUACCGCAUACGCCCUACGGGGGAAAGGAGGGGAUCUUCGGACCUUUCGCUAUUUGAUGAGCCUGCGUGAGAUUAGUUAGUUGGUGGGGUAAUGGCUCACCAAGGCGACGAUCUCUAGCUGGUCUGAGAGGAUGAUCAGCCACACUGGGACUGAGACACGGCCCAGACUCCUACGGGAGGCAGCAGUGGGGAAUAUUGCACAAUGGGGGAAACCCUGAUGCAGCCAUGCCGCGUGUGUGAAGAAGGCCUUCGGGUUGUAAAGCACUUUCAGUUGUGAG